GACGAACGCUGGCGGCGUGCUUAACACAUGCAAGUCGAACGGAAAGGCCCUGCUUUUGUGGGGUGCUCGAGUGGCGAACGGGUGAGUAACACGUGAGUAACCUGCCCUUGACUUUGGGAUAACUUCAGGAAACUGGGGCUAAUACCGGAUAGGAGCUCCUGCUGCAUGGUGGGGGUUGGAAAGUUUCGGCGGUUGGGGAUGGACUCGCGGCUUAUCAGCUUGUUGGUGGGGUAGUGGCUUACCAAGGCUUUGACGGGUAGCCGGCCUGAGAGGGUGACCGGCCACAUUGGGACUGAGAUACGGCCCAGACUCCUACGGGAGGCAGCAGUGGGGAAUAUUGCACAAUGGGCGGAAGCCUGAUGCAGCAACGCCGCGUGCGGGAUGACGGCCUUCGGGUUGUAAACCGCUUUCGCCUGUGACGAAGCGUGAGUGACGGUAAUGGGUAAAAAAGCACCGGCUAACUACG
rnacentral:rRNA from 1 species